AUUGAACGCUGGCGGCAUGCUUUACACAUGCAAGUCGAACGGCAGCGCGGGCUUCGGCCUGGCGGCGAGUGGCGAACGGGUGAGUAAUGCAUCGGAACGUGCCCAGUAGUGGGGGAUAGCACGGCGAAAGCAGGAUUAAUACCGCAUACGACCUGAGGGUGAAAGCGGGGGACCGAAAGGCCUCGCGCUAUUGGAGCGGCCGAUGUCGGAUUAGCUAGUUGGUGGGGUAAAGGCUUACCAAGGCGACGAUCCGUAGCUGGUCUGAGAGGACGACCAGCCACACUGGGACUGAGACACGGCCCAGACUCCUACGGGAGGCAGCAGUGGGGAAUUUUGGACAAUGGGGGCAACCCUGAUCCAGCCAUGCCGCGUGCGGGAAGAAGGCCUUCGGGUUGUAAACCGCUUUUGUUCGGGAAGAAAUCCUCUGGGCUAAUACCCCGGGGGGAUGACGGUACCGGAAGAAUAAGCACCGGCUAACUACGUG
rnacentral:rRNA from 1 species